rnacentral:lncRNA from 1 species
GGCAUUUCAUCAAACACCUUGUGGGUGGAGAAAUGACUAAGGUCUAGAUCAGAGUGAUGUGCAAAGAUCUAGCAUUAAGAGCAGCUAAAUAAGGAAAGGAAAUGAAGAUCUAGAACCUAAACAUCAUAAACCGAUCAUCUAAGCACCCUAAUCUACACACCUAUAAGCUUAAAAGAUAACUACUCACUAAUCAUGAUUAACACACCAUUUCCUUUGCAAGAGGUGAUGUUAAUCAUGAUUAGAAGUUGAGAUCAGAUGAUGAAAUGAUAAGAAACAGCUUUCAGAUAAUGAAAUCUCUUAGAUAUCUCUUAAUCACGUCGGUUUUACACAGAUAAGGAAAGAGAAACUAAGAUAAAGGAUAAGAUAAUGGAUAACUAGGGUUUUAGUCUCUAAAAACUAUUUAUAUAAAAGGGUGUGGGCCGGGUCAGCCCAAGACAAACUGGGUACUGACCCGCCCUUUCUGGGUUGCUGGAGCCACCCCUCGCCAUCUGAAGAAGUCUCACACCGAGGGCCAUACACCAGGGGGUCAUGUGCUGGGUUGAAACUUUGAUGAACACUUGAAGAACAUGCAUGAGACUUGGCCUUUGAUCCGGUUAAAGCUUUGAAACGUGAAGAGAGUUUGUUUGUGAUCUUGGUUGGAGAGAUGAGGACCUCGGCAUAACAUGCCGAGGGGCUUGGUACCCGAGGUUUGUGUAACAUAGGAGCUCGGCAUAACAUGCUGAAGGGUUCACGCCAAGGUCUGCUUCAACACUUAGUCGUUUUGUGAACAUUUUGGUGAUCAAGGGAGCCUUGGUGUUGAAAGACCGAAGUCCUACCUCGAGGUAUAGUCCCAAGGCUUCGUAAACAUGCCUCCUCGGCAUACAUGCCGAGGUAUUCACGCCGAGGUAGGACACAACACUUAGCUUACAGUCGCAUCUCUUAAAACCCGAAUUGACCAGCUUCUCUUCUGUUCAGUGUAACUUUCAGCUCAUAACUCCAAAUGACCUAAAACCAGUUCCAUGAGAAAGAUAACUCAUUCAGCUCAAUCUUUGGUGAAAAAACUAUCGGCGUUUGGGAAGUGGAGGGCUUCCUGGAGGGCUCAUCUCCGCAGUGCAUUUACACGAUCAGAGAGAGGCGUCUAGACAUGUGUCCAUUCCGGAAACGGUAACUUCUUUCUCAUAGAUCCGAAUUGAAUGAUCUCGGACGUUCUGGAACGAGGACUCAAAUAUCUUUGAUUCUCAUGAAGGCCUUGUAAACCGAAUCGUCCUGUAAGUGCGCCGUCCUUUGCAUUCUUCAGAGCUCAUCGGGUCGGCCCAAGACGGCAGCGAGACAGGGGUUUCUUCCGAUGAGCUCAACUUUCUGCUCACGCGUCCGAAUUCCAUUAUUCCACUUGCUAUGGAACCAUGAUCCAAUCUUCUACAACUUUGAUGAAGCCCCCGACAACUGAAUCGGACCGGAAGGUUCCCCGGACAGGCGAUCAUUCAGGAGUAUCGGAUUGCUCCGGAAUGGAUGCGAGAGAGGUCUGUCUUCCGAUUACCAUAUCUUUCAGAUCCGUUGUCCAAAUGCUUUGAUUUUAACGGUUCUGAACUCUUGACUCAGUUAUCUCCAACUUUUAUGAAGACUCGGACAGCUGAAUCGGCCGGCAAGAUCUUCCGGUGACGCGAUUUCAGAAAUGUAUCUGCACCCGGGAUUUUUGGCCGAGAGACUUGACCGCGGUACGUGUUUUUGGCCGAGAAAGCUACCCGCGGGAAGGAUUUUGGCCGAGGAUCUUCGACCUUCAGUACAACAUUUUGCCGAGAAACCCAAAAUUGCUCUUUUUCACCAUUUUUGAUCAUUCCAACUCCAUUUCUUCAUCUGAAUCACAUCCUCCACUCCAAAUUGGCUCCAAAAGCACCUGUUUAACACUCCAAAACAUUCAAAAC